rnacentral:misc_RNA from 1 species
GGAAGGAUCCUCGCAUCAACGCUUGUAUACCAACAUUCAAACCCAAUGUGAACCGUAACGUCCCUAGUCUUGUUCAUUUAAUUUCUUUCAAGGAAUUAAGUGGACGAGAUUAGACAAUACCCUGUUAAGAAUUCGAACUUGUGUCGAGUUCUUAACGUUUAUUCCCCUAAUUUUAACCCUAUAAACUAAAUGUUUGUCUUAUCUUCUUCAGACUGAGUUUGGAAGCCUGAGAAUUUAAUCAUUCUCUUGUGUUUUCUUUCUUAGCUUUGUUACGAAAUUUAGAACAACUCUUAGCAAUGGAUAUCUUGGGUCAUGUAACGAUGAAGAACGCAGCGAAAUGCGAUAUGUAAUGCGAAUUGCAGAAUUCAGUGAAUCAUCAAAUCUUUGAACGCAAAUUGCGCUCUCGGGUAUGCCUGGGAGCACGCCUCUUUGAGUAUCGGUUCUCUUCACAACCAACGGCUUCCGUGUAGAAAUUCGUUUCCUCACGACAAGUGCAGUUGAAUACUGAGUGUUUCCUUGCUUCACUGCAACGAAUCGCUUGAAAUAUUCCAUUUUGACAAACUUACCUUGGCUUGAGAACUCUCACAGCUCUGUUUUCACUUCAGCAAUGAAUGGAAAACUAGUUUGCACCUUGUCCGUUUUGACUUGAAAAUCAAAACAACGUAGAUAAUUGCCUUGUGCAUAUUUUGCGUUGCGUUUGCUUUUCGAUGUCAUUACUUGUGCGAAUGAAUGGCUGGGAUCGAUGUUCCUUCCACUUUGACCUUUCCUUUCGCACAGAAGAAUUGUGUAUCGCAAUUCCUUUUGGCAUGAUUUCGACUUCUUUGAAGUGUCUCGAAGUUGUGUUGUUUUGUAUUGGAUUCGUGUUUGUUUGUCAUACCUUUGAAUCAUAUAUUAGAUCUCAGAUGAAGCGAGAUUACCCCCUGAAUUUAAGCAUAUUAAUAAGGGGAGGAAAAGAAAAUAACCAUGAUUCCCCUAGUAACGGCGAGUGAAGCGGGAAGAGCUCAAAUUGAAAAUCGACUGUUCAAGCGAAUCGUCGAAUUGUAUCCUAGAGACAUGUUGUCAGUGUUUGCCCCAGAAAUAAGUCUUUUGAAACAAGGCAUCACAGAGGGUGAGAAUCCCGUGUAGUUUCUGGAGUGCAACACGUACGACGCGUGUUCAUUGAGUCGAGUUGUUUGGGAUUGCAGCUCUAAAUGGCGGGUAAAUUUCCGCUAAAGCUAAAUAUUGACAUGACACCGAUAGCGAACAAGUACCGUGAGGGAAAGAUGAAAAGAACUUUGAAAAGAGAGUUAAAAAGUACUUGAAAUUGUUAAGAGGGAAGCGCUGGAAACCAGUUUUUACUGCGACUAUUUUGAUGCGACUGCGAUGGUCUGCUAUUUUUUCCUGUGGUUAAACCAGGAAGGGUUGCAGGCUGUUUCGGUUGUAUUUUCAGUUGUCGUAGUCAAGUCAAAAUCAAUUCGAUUCGAAUGAGAUGAUCAUGAGGUUGGUAGAACAAGCAAUUGUUUGAAGCCUUGUGAUUUUAAUUUGGAUUGGAUUGAGGAUGAAAUAGCACGCCUGCUGGCUUCAUUGUUGUUUUUCUGCUGGUGCAUAGAGGUUAGGAUAACAAUGUUAUACGAUUUUUAUGUGCUGGUACUGAGGAUGACAAUGCUAUGUGUUAUCACGAUUUUGACGAAAUGGUUUUCAUCGACCCGUCUUGAAACACGGACCAAGGAGUCUAACAUCUAUGCGAGUAUUUGGGUGGGAAACCCUGAUGCGAAAUGAAAGUAAAGGUACUUCGUGUACUUUGGUAGGAAGCCGGUCAAACGGUGGCACUAUCGACCAAUCAUCACUUGUGAAAGAUUUGAGUAAGAGCAUAUCUGUUGGGACCCGAAAGAUGGUGAUCUAUGCCUGAAUAGGGUGAAGCCAGGAGAAAUUCUGGUGGAGGCUCGUAGCGAUACUGACGUGCAAAUCGUUCGUCUAAUUUGGGUAUAGGGGCGAAAGACUAAUCGAACCAUCUAGUAGCUGGUUCCCUC